UGGCAAGUCUUACACGACCAGUCUCCUUUUGAACCUCCCCAGGACCGGAAGGUAGCAAGGAUAGAAAGUCGUAGCGGUGCGAUGUAAGUAACUUGCCAUUU
rnacentral:SRP_RNA from 1 species